CCUCAUUUAGAAUCAGGUGUGUCAUGACAAGGCAGAUGAGUUUGUUCCUGUCUUACAUAACUCCACAGAAUUUAGCACAGCUUGGCUCCAAGAUCAUUGCAGUGAAGGCAACAGAUAAUCCCAAAGGCCGUUCGAAAUGCAGAAGACACCUGGAAGUUGAAGAUAUAUCCACUAGUUCUCUAAUACGGACAGAGGUUGUGGCUCUGUGACUUGGCAUUGUCAGAGCAGUGGGAGAAGCACAAGUCAGGAGGGGACCCAGGAGGCCGCCAUCACUUUUGAAAGGUUCCCAUGCUACCUACUCACAUGGACUCACACUGUAAUUCAGAGAGAAACGUGCUGCCGUGGGGCUGUGUCACUCAGCGGUAAGCGGAGAUGGGGAGCCUGACUGAGAGGCAUUCUUCCACACUCCAAAGGGAUCCUGGCUGCCUAACUGGCCUUCUAUCAGCUGGCUUCUGUUUGAAGCCCUUGGACACAGUUCCUCACACUUGCCUUUCCUAACCAAAUGUAAUAAUUAACAUCUUAUUAAUUACAGUUGAGCAGCAAUAUUCAGCUAGUCUCGGAGGUACUUUGCAGGAACAGGGGGGUCUGUAGCGGAUCACCGAAGUUGUAAACCUCAGCUCACAGCUCAGCUGUUAUUCAGGGCUGUGCGAGUGGCUGAGCCAGAGCCAGGAACCCAGCUCCUCCUCUUCUCUGGGGCAUGAAGUGGGCACUGCCUGUGUCUUUGCAGUUUGCUAACUGUGUGGGACAGUUAAGGCAGAUUGACAGCAGAAUCAGAUCACAUCCUAAUACAGAUUUAAUACCAAUAAGGCAUAACACACCAUCACAUAUUUUGUAUUAGCUAGUACAUGCAAAAAAAGUUUUGAUUAGCUUUAUGUUUUUACGCUGAAUUUAUGCCAGCUGCAAAAGGACAGGUGAUGCCUGAUCCAACAUGAAGCUUAUAGGUACAAAGUGGAUUUUUUUUUUUUCUCCUUGGCUUAAUAUUUUUAUUGUCAGAACAAGUUUACACCAGCUCAGUGUGUUCAGUUGUAGAUGCCAAAUGUGAACUUGUCAGUAAAUCUCACAGUGCUGUGAGAACAAGUUGUAGACCGCUACAGAAAUAUUUUACUGGGUCAAAGGUUUUUAUAAACCUCCAGACAGUAACAGGAGAGCUUCUGCUGGAUCAUGUGUCCUUCCUUGGCUGGCCCCUUCAGGCCUUUCCUGAAAGCCACCCGCGCCCCUUUCUGAUUUAACCCGAUGACAGAUGUGCCCCCAAAUGCAACCACUGCACUCAUACUACUCCACCAUGGAUACGGCUGCCCCACAGUUCAUUAAGAGCCUUGCAAUAACUUUAAGAAACGGAGGUCAAAGCCUUGCAGAAGGCUGGAGUGUUAUCAGUGCUGUAAGUGUCUUGUCAUGUUUAUAUCACCAACCUUUCACACGCUUGUCAAGUCUGGGGAGGCUGGUACCUAGCCCAUCACUAGUGGUUUUAUUUCUUGGUUUUAGGCAACUGUUAUACUAAGCAAAAACAACAUUAAAACAAUAUACCACAUUGUUGCACAAUCCAGGAAAAGUGGCAUUAAGCUGUAAUCACAAGAUAAUAUUUAAGCUAGUUGUCACCUUAGACAGGUAAAAACAUAAAGCAAAAGGACCAAACCUACAUGUAUAUGUGACAUCAUACGAUAUCCUGGUUUCUUCAACCUUCUGAUAGAUCUUGCUGUAAAACAAACUGUGAUUUCACUGACUAUUUAACCACCCAGAAAUUAUGCCUAGUAUGCACAGAAUGUUUAUGCCACUACAGUUACUUUGAAAAGGUAUGUUUAAGCAUUAUAACUCUUUGAAAGUACUCAUACCAAUGCAGGGGUUUUUCUCUUCAUUUUGCCUAAAGAUACAGGAAUACACGGUCUUUCUAUAGACAUGAUUUGAUGCUACAGUCAAUUCAGUGGCAGCCUUGGUUCUGGAGGUUUCUGCUCCCAGCUUCUCCCACUCACUGUUUUCUCCCCCAGUUUUAUCAACUCAACAUUGAGGGUGACUAUAAUACCAAAUAUAUAUUUUUUUCUUUUCAAUCCAAGCUACCAAUCACUCCUCCCGCUUGCCAGGGUUCUGCUGUCAAAGGAGCAGUAACUAGAUCCACAUCUCACUCUGUCCACACCAGAGAAUUUACCUCCGAAGUACUCUUUCCCUGCAGUGCACAGGACAUCGGGCCCUUGAGCUUUAAACCAUCCUGUGACCCGUGUGACAGCACAGAAUGAGUAUAAUCAGGGAGGACACUGGAAUUCACCCUUCCCCUAGCUCACAACGACAGCCACCCAAGCCCCCAAGAAGACGAUUCACUCUCUGUGUAUUUCCCUUGCAGCCACAAAUGCUGUGAAGUUUGUUUAACUGAAGGAGAAGAUUCAGCAGAUUGUGGCUCAUCCUCAGACAGGGGCUCUUUCUGGAAGAAGCUCUCCAUUGGCACAGCGGGUGGUCGGUGCUACAAAGCGCUCUCAUCUGGAGGCAUUUACAAGAGAUUUACACCAGCAAAUACAGAGGUCAGGAUGGGACAGCCUGCAGGGUACAACAGCUAGAAGGCUCAGCAGAUUUCACUUGCACCUCUUGAUCGUUAAGCACGUUAAGCACACUCUGUGUGCUAUUCUGUGUAGGCUUUAAAGGCCAAUAUUAGGAUGCAAGGGUCAGCUCAUACCAAGUUUAAUCCCGGAGCAGAGACAUCAGUGCACAGUGAGCUGCUGUGCACACCAGGCUGCAAGGCAGCAGUAACCGAAGCUCACAGACAUCUCCAGCAUUGGCCUCCCUUCUUCUCACCUCCAUGGGCCUCUGAGGGGCUGGUUGUCACCCAGCCAGGGCCAGGGAAGCACACAAAGCUGGUCAGCAUUGUCAAACUUUUGCCUUCUUCAGCAGUUGGCUAGCAUGGCUAGAUUUGAGAGUUUCUAGCCAUGCACUAGGUUUACAUGGAGUGGCUUGGUAUCUCAUCCUGGUUCCCAGACCCACAUCUACCUGGGCAUGCUGCUUUUGGUUAAUUAUCUGCCAUCCUGCUAACCUGGUGCCAGAACUUAAUUAAACUUUCAGCCUCAGAGACGGGGGGUUCCUCUGGCUCAGAGUUCAGACACACGGACCAUUACAAGAUAAUGGCAAUGCCGCUGCCUGACUUGCCCGCCCCAGAGGGGAAGGCAGCUCGAUUCCCAGACCUUCACCAGUUGCACCUGCACUGCCCUGGUCUUGCUGGCACCAUGUGCUGGGCCAGCCAGAGACCACCUUCUCCUUGCAGAGCCAGAGAGCAGCAGGGCUCUCCUGCUCCAGCUUAGGAAACAAAUGCGCAGUCAGGCACCCUGGGGCUGUCGGGACGCUGCAGAGGAUGGGGCCAGGAGUGCUGGUGUCUGGUUCCUGCCAGGGAAUCAUUAUGUGUGUGCAUUAGCUUUGCUCCUUCCGCAGUUCUUGCUCCAAACUGCCUGCUCACUUGGCGCAGGAGUUGGUGUCACCUCCCAUAAGGAAAUGUUGAUCAUACAGAUGCCUUGCCAAAUUCUGCACUCAGAUCAGUGACUCUGCUACUUUUCCAGCGCUGAGCUGAGGACAUCCCUUUUGGUGAAAAUAAAUUCUUUGUUCAGAUACUUUUUGGGCUUUGCUCAAAAACACAAUGGCCAGAAAGCCUACUGUUUAAAUCACAUUUUAAAUUGUUUUAAGGAGAUCAAAUGCUUGGAGUAAUAGCCACAUUUUAUAUUUGUUCUUCCCCCCAGACCAUUCAGAGCCAUAUAUUGCACUUAUCGCUCUAGAAUUAAGCGUUCGGCCACCACAAUGUUCUAACGAUGUGUCUGCCAGCAAGAAAAGACUUGAUUAUGCAGAUCUCUCUUCUGUCUGGCAUCUUUUCUGCAGCUCUGAAGCAGCCAAGGCAUCUCUCAUACGGCCCCCUGAGCUGCACAGUGCUUUAAAUAACUCUAUAUCAGCUUUCCCAGGGGUCUGAUUCUACUACACGACCCUUCAGCAUCCCCCAGUUACUAAUCAGAAUCAUAGAAUAGUUUGGGUUGGAAGGGACCUUCAAAGCUCAUUUAGUCUGAUCCCCUGCAAUGAGCAGGGACAUCUUCAACUACAUCAGGUUGCUCAGAGCCCCAUCCAGCCUGGCCUGGAAUGUUUCCAGGGAUGGGGCAUCUACCACAUCUCUGGAAAACCUGUUCCAGUGUUUCACCAACCUCAGUGUAAAAAAUUUCUUCCUCACAUCUAGGCUGAAUCUCCCUUCUUUUAGUUUAAAACCAUUAUGCCUUGUCUUAUUGUAACAGGCCCUGCUAAAAUUCCCAGCACAUAAAUCAGCAGGAGUUUUCUUUUGCUGUUAUUGUCAAAUGCAAGCAUUGGAUGGCAUGUAGGAUAAACAACAGGCACAGACCAUUAUUUCUGGCAGGCAGAAAUCUGGAAGCCUUAGAGCCUGGUGGGCCAGACCCUCGGGGUACUUGCCCCAGCUCCUCGCCACCACCUCCUGCCUUUCCCAAAGCACAGGAAAGUCUGUCCCCUGCCCGGCUUACAGACAAGCCGAGAGCCUGAGCUUCUGCUGCUCCCUGUGGGAAAUCACUUCAGUUUAACAGAUAAUAUUAUGAUAAGGAUUUUUUUCUGUUUAGCCCAUAAUUGCCUUUCAAAAUGGCUCCUGCCACAUUAAGUUAUAAGCCCUUGAAGUAGGCUAAAGGCUCCGUUUUCUUCCCUGAGGAUGUUUCCUUUUGGAUGGCAAUAUCAACCUCCCUUAGCUGUCCCUGCUCAGCUGAGAUGUACAUACUUCUCAUCUUUUCUGGUAAGUCCUUCCAGCCUCUGAUCAUUUAAUUGCUCUUACCUGAGCCUUCAAGUUAACUGCAAUGCUGCUAAUUAAAGUAACAAAUAUCACACUGCUUGAACACGUGGCUGCUCCCCCAGGUGCCUCCCACCCUUCCCAUUUCUUGGUGAGAAGGAACCUCCUGGCAGCCCGGGGGGCUGUUCUUUGGGCAGAGCUGAAUUUGUGUUACAAGGCUGAUCUGAUCAGCUUCUGCCACUCUGGGCUGUGCUGCUGAGAGACGAAGACGAAGUAAAAUGGACUCCUUGUCUGGUGAAAAAAGGCCUCCGUGACCCCAGCUCAGCCAUCUGGCUGGGACGGACAUACGGACAUUACACCACUGGCUCUGACAGGCGGCUGCAUGGUGGAGAAUAGUGACCUGGAGAAAAUAGUGCUGGGCUCUGUUCUCGGUGUGUAAAUGCUACAACCAACAGUGUGUACAGGGAAACUUGGAGCAUUCCUGAUAACUGCACUGGGAUUAUUGGGUCCUUUUUUUUUCUUUAAACCUAGGAGGAAGAAAAAAAGCGGGGGGGGGGGGAGGGGGAAGGGAGGUCAAUUUCACUACCUGUUUAAAGAAAAGACAAUUUUAAUAAGUUUUUAUGUUUUAUCUGAUUAUUUUCACGUUCAAGAAAAAAAGGGUGACUUUGCAGUUAAACCAUCAGGCAUCCUGACUGCAAAGGUAAAAGUAACCAUGGCUAUGUAUAAUAACAGCUGAGUGCUUCAUGAUCUGGGCUUCAUGUUCUAGUAGAUAGGUAGGUACACUGAAGAAAAUUCAGACAAAGUCUACCUUGUGUGGCUAUGAAGCAUCAGCAACAUGACAAUAUCACGCAAACUUCUGAAAGAGGGAACAAAGACCCUCGCCAAAUGGUUACGCUCAAUUUUUUGUUAUAUAUGCUUUUAAUUUCAACAGCUAAAUGACAUAUUGGCUCACAGCUGCUUCAUUUAAAGUUUCAUUGAUCUUACUCUGUUGGGAGCUCAUAAUGAAUACCAGAUCCCAUAU